AGGUGCUCCAACUUGCACAGAUCAGCCUAGUUGUUCUUCAUGCUCAUCAGUUGCAAAAUCAGGUGCGGCAGUCUCACAGCCUUUUAGCAUCCCUUGGAUCACAUCUGGCACAAAAGCUGCUGCUUCUGGUACUCCACUUCUGCAGGCCAUAUCUGGGACCGUGACAAAUCCUGCUAAAAACACUGGGAGCUCAUCAGUGACAAAUGAAGGUAAAUUAGUUGGAAGUUGGAUCGUAGUUAUUGUCUACAUGUCAUCGUUUAAAAAAGGACAGACCCAGUGCAUAGAAGCUCCC